UUUUAAAGAGAGUUUGAUCCUGGCUCAGGACGAACGCUGGCGGCGUGCCUAAUACAUGCAAGUCGAACGAACGGAGGAAGAGCUUGC
rnacentral:rRNA from 1 species